rnacentral:rRNA from 1 species
AUUGAACGCUGGCGGCAGGCCUAACACAUGCAAGUCGAACGGCAGCGGGGGAUAGCUUGCUAUCCUGCCGGCGAGUGGCGGACGGGUGAGUAAUGCAUGGGGAGCUGCCCAAUCGAGGGGGAUAACAACUGGAAACGGUUGCUAAUACCGCAUACGCCCUGCGGGGGAAAGGUGGGGACCUUCGGGCCUACCGCGAUUGGAUGCACCCAUGUGGGAUUAGCUGGUUGGUGAGGUAACGGCUCACCAAGGCGACGAUCUCUAGCUGGUCUGAGAGGAUGACCAGCCACACUGGAACUGAGACACGGUCCAGACUCCUACGGGAGGCAGCAGUGGGGAAUAUUGCACAAUGGGGGAAACCCUGAUGCAGCCAUGCCGCGUGUGUGAAGAAGGCCUUCGGGUUGUAAAGCUCUUUCGGCCGGAACGAAAUCGCAUCCUUUAAUACGGGGUGUGGAUGACGGUACCGGAAGAAGAAGCACCGGCUAACUACGUGCCAGCCGCCGCGGUAAUAC